rnacentral:lncRNA from 1 species
UUUUUUUAAACAAAAAAAAACAUUCUCUCUUUCUACCAGUAUUUCAACUAGAAAAAUUAACUAGUUCAGAAACAUAAUACAUAAAAUGACAAACAAAUUGUCAUGAUUGAUUUUUCCUUCGAUCGAUACAGGAGAAAACAAGUGUCAUCACUAUAUGCACAUAUAUAUUGGUCAAAGAACAAACUAAAAAUAAAAGAGCCAUUAUAUAUAUAGAAGAAACAAAACUCGAU